AACGAACGCUGGCGGCAUGCCUAACACAUGCAAGUCGAACGAAACCUUCGGGUCUAGUGGCGCACGGGUGUGUAACGCGUGGGAACAUGCACUUAGGUUCGGCAUAACUCUCCGACAGGGGUGACAACACCGGAUAAUGUCUUCGGACCAAUGAUUUAUCGAACUUGGUGGGGCCGGCGUUGGAUUAGCUAGUUGGUAGGGUAAUAGCCUCACAAGGCGUCGAUCAGUAGCUGGUAUGGGAGGAGGAUUAGCAACACCUGGACUGAGACACGGCCGAGACUCCUACGGGAGGGAGCAGUGGGGAAUAUUGGACCAUGGGGUGAAGCCUGAUCCAGCAAUGCCGGGAGAGUGAUGAAGGCCGUAGGGUUGUAAAGCUCUUUUACCCGGGAUGAUAAUGACAGUACCGGGAGAAUAAGCUCCGGCUAACUCCGUG
rnacentral:rRNA from 1 species